UGGGGAAUCUUCCGCAAUGGACGAAAGUCUGACGGAGCAACGCCGCGUGAGUGAAGAAGGUUUUCGGAUCGUAAAACUCUGUCUUUUGGGGCGAACGUGAGUAUGGUGAACAAUCAUAGUCAGUGACGGUACCAAAGGAGGAAGCCACGGCUAACUACGUGCCAGCAGCCGCGGUAAUACGUAGGUGGCAAGCGUUGUCCGGAAUUAUUGGGCGUAAAGAGCGCGUAGGCGGGAUAGUCAGUCUGUUGUAAAGUGCGGGGCUCAACCCCGUGAUGGCAAUGGAAACAGCUAUUCUUGAGUGCAGGAGAGGAAAGUGGAAUUCCCAGUGUAGCGGUGAAAUGCGUAGAUAUUGGGAGGAACACCAGUGGCGAAGGCGACUUUCUGGACUGUGUCUGACGCUGAGGCGCGAAAGCCAGGGGAGCGAACGGGAUUAGAUACCCCGGUAGUCCUGGCCGUAAACGAUGGGUACUAGGUGUGGGAGGUAUCGACCCCCUUCCGUGCCGGAGUUAACGCAAUAAGUACCCCGCCUGGGGAGUACGGUCGCAAGAUUAAAACUCAAAGGAUUGACGGGGUCAUAGCUGUUUCCU
rnacentral:rRNA from 1 species